rfam:Camelus ferus unplaced genomic scaffold scaffold513, whole genome shotgun sequence.
GAAGGUAUAGCUCAGUGGUAGAGCGUGUGCUUAGCAUGCAUGAGGUCCUGGGUUCAAUCCCCAGUACCUCCA